rnacentral:rRNA from 1 species
GAUGAACGCUGGCGGCGUGCCUAAUACAUGCAAGUCGAGCGAACAGACGAGGAGCUUGCUCCUCUGACGUUAGCGGCGGACGGGUGAGUAACACGUGGAUAACCUACCUAUAAGACUGGGAUAACUUCGGGAAACCGGAGCUAAUACCGGAUAAUAUAUUGAACCGCAUGGUUCAAUAGUGAAAGACGGUUUUGCUGUCACUUAUAGAUGGAUCCGCGCCGCAUUAGCUAGUUGGUAAGGUAACGGCUUACCAAGGCAACGAUGCGUAGCCGACCUGAGAGGGUGAUCGCCCACACGGGAACUGAGACACGGUCCAGACUCCUACGGGAGGCAGCGGUGGGGAAUCUUCCGCAAUGGGCGAAAGCCUGACGGGGCAACGCCGGGUGGGUGAUGAGGGUUUUCGGAUCGUAAAACUUUUUUAUUGGGAAAAAAAAAAUGUGUAAGUAACUAUGCCCGUCUUGACGGUACCAACUCAAAAAGCCACGGCUAACUACGU